rnacentral:rRNA from 1 species
CUACGGGAGGCAGCAGUAGGGAAUAUUGGUCAAUGGAUGGAAGUCUGAACCAGCCAUGCCGCGUGCAGGAAGAAGGCCUUCUGGGUUGUAAACUGCUUUUGCCAGGGGAUAAAAAUUCUUUGCGAAGAAAAUUGAAGGUACCUGGUGAAUAAGCACCGGCUAACUACGUGCCAGCAGCCGCGGUAAUACGUAGGGUGCAAGCGUUGUCCGGAUUUAUUGGGUUUAAAGGGUGCGUAGGCGGCCCUGUAAGUCAGUGGUGAAAUACUCCAGCUUAACUGGAGGGGUGCCAUUGAUACUGCAGGGCUUGAGUUAAGUUGAAGUUGGCGGAAUUGACGGUGUAGCGGUGAAAUGCUUAGAUAUCGUCAAGAACACCGAUAGUGAAGACAGCUAACUAAACUUUUACUGACGCUGAGGCACGAAAGUGUGGGGAUCAAACAGGAUUAGAUACCCCGGUAGUCCG